rnacentral:rRNA from 1 species
CCCUUAGAUGUUCUGGGCCGCACACGCGCUACACUGAAGGAGGCAGCGUGUACUCCUGGAUCGAAAGAUUUGGGUAACCCGCGAAUCUCCUUCGUGCUAGGGAUUGAGGUUUGCAAUUAUCCUUCAUGAACGAGGAAUUCCCAGUAAGUGCAAGUCAUAAGCUUGCGCUGACUACGUCCCUGCCCUUUGUACACACCGCCCGUCGCUACUACCGAUUGAAUGAUUUAGUGAGGACUUCGGACUGGGACCGAUGCGGCUUUCGGGCUGCGUCGGUAUUCUGGAAAGAUGUCCAAACUGUAUCAUUUAGAGGAAGUAAAAGUCAUANCA